rnacentral:rRNA from 1 species
UACGAAGGGGGCUAGCGUUGUUCGGAAUUACUGGGCGUAAAGCGCACGUAGGCGGGUUGUUAAGUCAGGGGUGAAAUCCUGGAGCUCAACUCCAGAACUGCCUUUGAUACUGGCAACCUAGAGACUGGAAGAGGUUAGUGGAAUUCCCAGUGUAGAGGUGAAAUUCGUAGAUAUCAGGAGGAACACCGGUGGCGAAGGCGGGUCUCUGGGCCGAUACUGACGCUGAGGAGCGAAAGCGUGGGGAGCGAACAGG